UGCAGUGCCGCAGGGAAGCCGUUAAGUCUGCCGCCUGGGAAGUACGUACGCAAGUAUGAAACUUAAAGGAAUUGGCGGGGGAGCACCACAAGGGGUGAAGCCUGCGGUUCAAUUGGAGUCAACGCCAGAAAUCUUACCUGGGGAGACAGCAGAAUGAAGGUCAAGCUGAAGACUUUACCAGACACGCUGAGAGGUGGUGCAUGGCCGUCGCCAGCUCGUGCCGUGAGAUGUCCUGUUAAGUCAGGUAACGAGCGAGACCCCUGCGUCUAGUUGCUACCAUUACUCUCUGGAGCAGUGGAGCGAAUUAGACGGGCCGCCACAGUUAAUGUGGAGGAAGGAAGGGGCCACGGCAGGUCAGUAUGCCCCGAAACCCUAGGGCU
rnacentral:rRNA from 1 species